rnacentral:tRNA from 1 species
AAACCCCGCCCCACCCCCAGGGACUUAGGUUAACUAUUUAAACCAGGGGCCUUCAAAGCCCCAAACAAGAAACACAUCUUAUUCCCUG